GGACGAACGCUGGCGGCGUGCUUAACACAUGCAAGUCGAACGGAAAGGCCCUGCUUGCAGGGUACUCGAGUGGCGAACGGGUGAGUAACACGUGGGUGAUCUGCCCUGCACUUCGGGAUAAGCCUGGGAAACUGGGUCUAAUACCGGAUAGGAGCCAUUUUUAGUGUGAUGGUUGGAAAGUUUUUUCGGUGUAGGAUGAGCUCGCGGCCUAUCAGCUUGUUGGUGGGGUAAUGGCCUACCAAGGCGGCGACGGGUAGCCGGCCUGAGAGGGUGGACGGCCACAUUGGGACUGAGGUACGGCCCAGACUCCUACGGGAGGCAGCAGUGGGGAAUAUUGCACAAUGGGCGCAAGCCUGAUGCAGCGACGCCGCGUGGGGGAUGACGGCCUUCGGGUUGUAAACUCCUUUCGCUAGGGACGAAGCUUUUUGUGACGGUACCUAGAUAAGAAGCACCGGCUAACUACGUG
rnacentral:rRNA from 1 species